AAAAAAAAGAGAGAUAAUUUUUCCCUAAUAAGAUCUAGACAAGUUUAAUUCCUGAGCUGCUUGCCUUCCACUUUAUCCAGGUGCAGACAAGUGCCAGUUCUCUCAUCAUUCCUGAAGGAUAUUUCUUCUGCCCUAGAGGAAAGAAAAUGAAGAACUAGACUUCUAUUAUCAUCAGCAUAGUAGGUGGGCCCUGCCAAGAUGCAAACAAGAGUCCUACACGCAGAAGUACUACAGCUCCAUGGGGGAGGCUGCCUGUGUGUUGUUCUCAAGAUUGGUUUCCUGAUCUGAUGAUCACCUGAACAGAACAGGAUGAAGGACAAUGCAGGCCUGGCUGGAGUGCCCCUUUGAGAUGC
ensembl:lncRNA